UACGUAGGGGGCAAGCGUUGUCCGGAAUCAUUGGGCGUAAAGCGCGUGUAGGCGGCUUGAUAAGUCUGCUCUGAAAGCCCGGGGCUCAACCCCGGGAGGCGGGUGGAUACUGUCAAGCUCGAGUCCGGAAGAGGAGUGUGGAAUUCCUGGUGUAGCGGUGAAAUGCGCAGAUAUCAGGAGGAACACCAAUAGCGAAGGCAGCUCGCUGGGACGUUACUGACACUGAGGCGCGAAAGCGUGGGGAGCGAACAGG
rnacentral:rRNA from 1 species